rnacentral:misc_RNA from 1 species
AACCUCUCAAGGAAGUCGUUCCUGAGGAUCUAGCCAAUUACGAUGUGGUCGAGGAAGAAGACGAUGACGACAAUGAAAACGACGAUGACAACGACGAGGAGGAAGAGGAGGACGAUGACGACGAGGAGGAGGAAGAUGAAGGCGAUGCGAAUGUCAGUAAUCACCAUCCGACCCCCAAGGUUUCCUCUUCCUCCGACGCUGCUGCAACUACUGCUGAUGACGACGACGAGCCCAUUCACAAGCUUUUGGAGCCUUUCAGCAAGGACCAGCUCAUCAAUCUGCUCCGUGAAGCGGCGGAUAAGCAUGCGGAUGUGGCUGGAAGGAUUCGUAUGGUUGCUGAUGCGGACCCGUCUCACCGGAAAAUUUUUGUUCACGGGCUAGGAUGGGAUACUAAUGCCGAAACUUUGAUUAAUGUGUUUAAGCAAUUCGGUGAGAUUGAGGACUGCAAAGCUGUGUGUGAUAAGGUCUCUGGUAAGUCCAAGGGUUACGGUUUCAUCCUCUUCAAGAAGCGCAGCGGGGCUCGAAAAGCACUGAAGGAGCCACAGAAGAAGAUUG